CGUCAAAGUUUAAAUAUUUUUAAAGAUUGAUAGAUUGCGGGGAAAAUAGGACCCUUUUCCCAGAAAAGGGUCAUGUUCCCCGCUUUUCCCAAAAAGGGUCCAUAUGCUCCCCGGUAUGUAUGAGGGGAACAUAGGACCCUUUUUGGGAAAAUCGGGGAACAUGGGACCUUUUUUUUUUUUUUUUAAAGGGUCCUAUGUUCCCCUAGCGGGGAACAUUGGACCCGGGGAACAUAGGGAUGACUCCUUGGGCUCCACUAUCCUUCACGCCACGGUUCUAUUCCCUAACGUCGCCGCCCAUGAAAAAGCGCAAAUGCGUACAUGAGAAACGGGAAAGCUUCUACGACCUAAAGGGGACGUGCCUCCGCAAAUGCCGCAAGAAACCUGGGAGAUUGGCAGUUUACCACUAGCACGUACCGGCGUACAAUACAAAUGGAUUACACCAGACGUUAUUUGCUCUAACCAAUACGCAGGCCUUGCCCUUUGCCGUCUCUCGUCUCGAGCUUCUCGCUCACAACCAAUCACGUUCUUCUGGUCACUAGUUCUUAAUUGAUUUCAGCUGCGUCUCCCCCGCCUCUCCUCAUAAAGGGCCCCCACCGUGUCGGAUGUUAAUCGUUUAUUUUGCGUUGGAUUGCGUGCGCUGAACAAUCCGGACAUCGUGGCCACCGACGUGGACACCCCGCCACGAGACCCACGCACACCGACCACCACACUGGGAAGUGUCCUCUGCUCCCUGUGGAAGCAGCAUGGAAGAACUGCAGCAACUCUGAUGGAAACUACCGGGCCUCCACGCUGUUGAACACAAACUGUAGGCCUACUACAAACAGAGGCGGUCCCACUCGGUUAAAGAUCUCGAGGUCAAUGCGGCAGACCGCUGGACCUGGACGUCACCUUCUGCAGAUACUUCACUGCCCUCAGGAAUCCACGGAUAAGGUGAAACAUGUCCGAAAAAUGUCCGAAAAAUCCAAGAUGGAAACUUGUGGAAGGAAGAAAGGGUUCUAUUUUUGCUCAACCCAUAACCCCACUGAGACCUUCUGUGGAAACCUGUCUGACUGACUGACCCUACUGACUGGGGGCCUGUUGAUGUGUGUUUGGUUGGUCUGGUAGAAGGUUUGCUGCUUGUGAUCUGCAAGGUGGUCCUGGGUUAGAUGCGGUGUCUGACUUGCACACCACUCUCCCAAUUCUAUUCUUCUCUUUACUACUUUUCUACUUUCAAUACACUUGCUGCUGCUGCUGUUGACCGCUGGUGGUGCAAUGUGGUUUUUAUUCGCGUAUGUUCUGUGGACUUUGCAUUUGUAUUAAUGAACAUGUUUACUGCCUGUUAGACCUCGGAUUGGCAAACCUAAACUCCUUCACUGGCAAAAUGUAGAUGCAAAUUAAAUGCCAAAAUUAACAUUUCAAUAUUCGUUUUGCGUAUUUCACCAAUAGCUUCGUAACUAGACGGACCUCAUAUAUAAUUUGCUCUUCAAAGAUGCGGUCAGGCGCCCCUCCGUUAUAUAACGUUUUCUGCCCGCUACGAAAUAGACCGAGCAAUAGCAACCCUUUAGGCUAUCUAAUGUGAGGUUGGAUAUACGCAACAUGUAGAGGUGUUUCAACAACAAAGAUGGAAGUUAGUGAACUAAAGACUCUAUAUGCUCACUAAAAGAACAAACGACUACUACUCUUAAAGAUUUUGAGGAAUAUGUAUUUCUGCAUCACCAGUUCCAAUGCUAUGAUUAGUCGAGGCCUAUCCAAUAGCAUAGCAUCGACCCAUUUUAGGUCGCGCCGUUUAGACACGCCCCUUGGAAAUUGAACAACGCACUUCAACCAUGACUUCAACGCAGAGGAUCCAGAAGGAUUUCACAAAGAGUCCAUUGGAAGAUAUCGAGGAACAUGAACAUCACCAAUGAAGGAGAGUAACGUUUCCACUUGCUAUAGGAUUUUAGUGAAGCACUAAAUAGAUAAUAAUAAUAAUAAUAAUAAAAUGUGGUCACCAUUUAUUGACUUUUUGGGUAAGACUUGCUUUACUAAUAUAACCGUGUUAAAACCGCAUUCCUUUACUUUUCUUGUGUAGUUUCCCACUAUUCAUUAAAUGUGUUAUAGAAGUAAAAAAGUAAUCAAUAGAACUAUACACAUUUUUACAACAAUUAAUCAUUAUACAGGAUUUGAACAUUUUCUAUUCGAGCUCAUGCUUCAUAAUAUUUCCAAGGAUUGCAGAGUACCAAAUGAUUUAUGAACAGUGGUUUGUUUUUGUUCAGGAGCGGAUUGUACUCCCAGAGGCUUCAACAGAGCGGGUCUGGAGCUGGGAGCUGCAGGUGGAUGGUGGCCAGGAGCCGUUUAGUCCUACAGGAACAGACGGUAGAGGUGAUGGAGGCGGUCGUCUGGAGGUGCUCGUCUGGAGGUCCGUGGCGGUCGUCUGGAGGUGCUCGCCGUGAGGUCCAUGGCGGUCGUCUGGAGGCGCUCGCUGCAGGUGGAGGGAAGGCCGGGAGCCGUGCAGCCCAACGGAUGCAGAACGAAGGACUGAGGCGGAGGUCCUGGAGGGAGAGGCCAGCCUGGAGGGAGAGGCUAGCCUGGAGGCGGUGGUGGCCUGGAGGCGUCCAACCUGGAAGGGGAGGCAUGGAGAGCCAGGUGGCGGCUCCUCAUCCAAAGGGCCUGGAGGCGGCCAACCUGGAAGGCCUGGAGACGGUCGAGGUCCUGGAGGCAACGGCGGGCCUGGAGGUGGAGGCCAACCUGGAGGUCCUGGAGUCGGUGGGCCUGGAGGCGGCGGUUGGGUCCAACCUGGAGGGUCCGGCGGCGGCGGCGAGGGUCCUGGAGGGUCGGGCGGCGGCGGCGUCCUGGAGGGUCCGCGGCGGCGGCGUCUGGAGGGUCCGGCGGCGGCGGAGGGUCCGGGCGGCGUCCUGGAGGGUCGGCGCGUCCUGGAGCGGUCGGCGGCCCUGAGGGCCGGCGGCGGGAGGGUC
ensembl:lncRNA